rnacentral:rRNA from 1 species
GAAUAUUGCGCAAUGGGGGAAACCCUGACGCAGCGACGCCGCGUGGGUGAUGAAGGCCUUCGGGUCGUAAAGCCCUGUCGUAGGGAAAGAAUCGGUUGCAGGCUAAUAUCCUGCAGCCCUGACGGUACCCUACCAGAAAGCACCGGCUAACUCCGUCCCCGCCGCCGCGGUAAUACGGAGGGUGCAAGCGUUGUUCGGAAUUACUGGGCGUAAAGAGCGUGUAGGCGGUCGAUCAAGUCCGGUGUGAAAGCCCGGGGCUUACCCCCGGAAGUGCGCUGGAAACUGGUCGACUAGAGUAUGGGAGAGGGAAGUGGAAUUCCUGGUGUAGCGGUGAAAUGCGUAGAUAUCAGGAGGAACACCGGCGGCGAAGGCGGCUUCCUGGACCAAUACUGACGCUGAGACGCGAAAGCGUGGGGAGCAAACAGGA